CGCGUAGGCGGUUAUGUAAGUUAGAUGUGAAAUCCCCGGGCUUAACCUGGGAACUGCAUUUAAUACUGUAUGACUAGAGUAGAGUAGAGGGAAGUGGAAUUUCCGGUGUAGCGGUGAAAUGCGUAGAUAUCGGAAAGAACACCAGUGGCGAAGGCGGCUUCCUGGACUCAUACUGACGUUGAGGCGCGAAAGCGUGGGUAGCAAACAGGAUUAGAUACCCUGGUAGUCCAUGCUGUAAACGAUGAAGACUAGAUGUUGGAGGGUUAAACUCUUCAGUAUCGAAGCUAACGCGAUAAGUCUUCCGCCUGGGGAGUACGGCCGCAAGGCUAAA
rnacentral:rRNA from 1 species